rnacentral:rRNA from 1 species
GUGUCAUAGUGGCGACGAGGCGCGUUGAUACGUGCGGGGCAAGGUUGUGCAGUAAUGAUGUGGCGUAGACGGCGGGUACGGGGCAUGUUAAGGCGGAAGUGAAACCGCGGGGCGCCACCGCGGGCUGGCGUCCGGGACUGGUGGGCUGGAGUGCUCUAGAGGGCAGUGGAAUUCCCGGUGUAGCAGUGAAAUGCGUAGAGAUCGGGAGGAACAGCAGUGGCGAAGGCGACUGCCUGGGGAGUAACUGACGCUGAGGCGCGAAAGCUUGGGGAGCAAACGGGAUUAGAUACCCGAGUAGUC